rnacentral:rRNA from 1 species
AACACGGAAGAUAAGCCCGCCAGCGUUCCGGCGAGUACUGGAGUGCGCGAGCCUCUGGGAAAACCGGUUCGCCGCCACCA